rnacentral:rRNA from 1 species
UACGUAGGGUGCGAGCGUUGCUCGGAUUGACUGGGCGUAAAGGGCGCGUAGGCGGCGGACACAGUCAGACGUGAAAUUCCUGGGCUCAACCUGGGGGCUGCGUUUGAUACAUGUCUGCUUGAGUUCGGAAGAGGGUCGUGGAAUUCCCAGUGUAGAGGUGAAAUUCGUAGAUAUUGGGAAGAACACCGGUGGCGAAGGCGGCGACCUGGUCCGAUACUGACGCUGAGGCGCGAAAGCGUGGGGAGCAAACAGG